rnacentral:rRNA from 1 species
CACGUAGGGCGCAAGCGUUGUCCGGAAUUAUUGGGCGUAAAGAGCUCGUAGGCGGUCUGUUGCGUCCGCUGUGAAAACUCGGGGCUUAACCCCGAGCCUGCAGUGGAUACGGGCAGACUAGAGGUAGGUAGGGGAGAAUGGAAUUCCCGGUGUAGCGGUGAAAUGCGCAGAUAUCGGGAGGAACACCGGUGGCGAAGGCGGCUUCUGGACGACAACUGACGCUGAGACGCGAAAGCGUGGGGAGCAAAC